rnacentral:rRNA from 1 species
CUACGGGGUGCAGCAGUGGGGAAUAUUGCACAAUGGGCGCAAGCCUGAUGCAGCAACGCCGCGUGAAUGAUGAAGGCCUUCGGGUCGUAAAAUUCUGUCCUUAAGGAAGAUAAUGACGGUACUUAAGGAGGAAGCCCCGGCUAACUACGUGCCAGCAGCCGCGGUAAUACGUAGGGGGCUAGCGUUAUCCGGAUUUACUGGGCGUAAAGGGUGCGUAGGUGGUUUUUCAAGUCAGAGGUUAAAGGCUACGGCUCAACCGUAGUAAGCCUUUGAAACUGGAAAACUUGAGUGCAGGAGAGGAAAGUGGAAUUCCCAGUGUAGCGGUGAAAUGCGUAGAUAUUGGGAGGAACACCAGUAGCGAAGGCGGCUUUCUGGACUGUAACUGACACUGAGGCACGAAAGCGUGGGUAGCAAACAGGAUUAGAUACCCGAGUAGUC